UACGUAGGGGGCGAGCGUUGUCCGAAGUUACUGGGCGUAAAGCGCGCGUAGGCGGCUUAUUAAGUGGCCGGUGAAAUCCCCGGGCUCAACUCGGGGUGGUCUGGUCAUACUGGUAAGCUAGAGUGCGGGAGGGGAGAGCGGAACUCCUGGUGUAGCGGUGAUAUGCGUAGAGAUCAGGAAGAACACCCGUGGCGAAGGCGGCUCUCUGGACCGUAACUGACGCUGAGGUGCGAAAGCCAGGGGAG
rnacentral:rRNA from 1 species